rnacentral:rRNA from 1 species
CGAGCUGCGUUCCUCAGUCUCACCCGAUGUAUGCGACGGCAGGCUAUAACACACCCGAGGGUGCCACCUUCCUACCGUCCUUAUCCACCGGACAAAACUGAUGUUGACCCGACCGAGGGGAAUACACCGGCAGAACCGGCUGAGCCUCUCGGUCACGACUGACUUCAAUCGUUUCCCUUUCAACAAUUUCACGUACUGUUUAACUCUCUUUCCAAAGUGCUUUUCAUCUUUCCCUCACGGUACUUGUUCGCUAUCGGUCUCUCGCCAAUAUUUAGCUUUAGAUGGAACUCACCACCCAUUUUGAGCUGCAUUCCCAAACAACUCGACUCGUAGAAGACGUAUCACAGAGCACCGGUCGUCGUGUCAAGUACGGGAUUGUCACCCUCUUUGAUAUCCUGUUCCAAGGAACUUGGACACGGUCCGGCACGGAAAACGCCUCUAUAGAUUACAACUCGGACGCCCUGAGGACGCCAGAUUUCAAAUUUGAGCUCUUCCCGGUUCACUCGCCGUUACUAGGGGAAU